GUAGGUGAACCUGCGGAAGGAUCAUUAACACGUAUCCAACGUUAAAAAACCCUGUGCACCUUCAUUCCUGCUCUCCUUGGGUGGUGGAAGCAAUCUCUGGUAAAUCACGUGAACAGUUUGAUUCAGAGACCUCUUCUGCUGCACUUGGAUUUGAUGCGGUCGUCGCAAAUAGGCUUGUCCCUACGGGGUAGUUAGUGGGUGAAAGUGCCACUGAUUGCUUAAGUCGGGUACGGAUAGCGGCCAAAGCCCU
rnacentral:misc_RNA from 1 species